ensembl:snoRNA SNORD58 Small nucleolar RNA SNORD58
UUGUUAGGAUGACAGUCUGAGGACACUUUUGGAUUAACCAUGAAAGACACCUUGAUGUUGGAUAAA